rnacentral:rRNA from 1 species
UGUGCAGGCGGGCUGUCAAGUGGUGCAUGAAAUCGCUCGGCUUAACCGGGCGGGGUUGUGCCAGACUGGCAGUCUGGAGUGCGGGAGAGGGGCGUGGAAUUCCGGGUGUAGUGGUGAAAUGCGUAGAGAUCCGGAGGAACCCCAGAGGCGAAGGCGGCGCCCUGGCCCGACACUGACGCUCAGACACGACAGCAUGGGGAGCGAACG